GAAAGGAGGAGGUCUUUUAUAUUUAAAAGGAAGAUUGCCAGAAGAAGGGAAAAGAACAAAAAAGAGAUUUAGAGGAAGGAGAUUCAAAAAAAAAAUCUGGUCUGCUUCUCUUUCUUCAACACAAGCAGUAUUCUUCCUCCGUGAAAACCAGUCCAAAGGUCCCUUAAAAUACCAUAUAAAGCUCAGUAAAUACCAGCUAUAAAAGCCACCUGACAACACAAGAAGACACGUCACAAAACAACUCCAUAACCACUGAGUGCUAGUAUCAGAAUUUUGGAGUUUCGAGGUUACGUAUUGUUGGUUCGGUAUAUAGUUUGAGAGGUCCGUCGAGGUAGGUUUAUGGUCAUGGUCUUUGUUGAGUUACAGAAAUGUAAAGUUUUAUCCCGUCAAUAUAGAGGUCCAUUUCCAAUCUCAUCUUUUAUCCUUCAAUGCAUUUGGAUCUUGCAAAAGAAAUUUCAUUAGCUGUGAGUAGUACAGGUUAUUUGCAUGCCAUAUCUUU
rnacentral:lncRNA from 1 species